AUACCUUUCUUGGCCUUUUGGCUAAGAUCAAGUGUAGUGUUUGUUUUUAUCAGUUUAAUAUCUGAUAUGUGGGUUAUAUGCCCACAACGAUAUUAAAUUAUUUUAUUAUUAUGAGGGAGAGUCUACCAUACUACCUUGCUAGCGGGACCCUCAAGUGUCGCCUAGGUGUUGCACUAUUGCCUAGGCUUGGUGCAUCCCAA